rnacentral:lncRNA from 1 species
UGUGACAGCUUAUUUCACUCAGCACCAUGUCCUCAAGGCGCAGCCAUGCGUAGCCUGUGUCACAGUCUCCUUCCUUCUCAAGACUGAACCGCAGGCUGCUGUAUGGAUGUAUUUUGUUUACCCAUUUCUGUCAGUGGACACACGGGUGACUUCCACAGUUUAGCUGUCGUGAAUGAUGCUGCUGUGAGCACGGGUGCACAGUGACCUCUGGAGACCCUGCCUUCAGUUCUGGGUGUAGACCCAGAAGUGGGAUUGCUGGAUCAUUGAUCAUUCUAUUUUUAUUCAUUU